GAUGAACGCUGGCGGCGUGCUUAACACAUGCAAGUCGAGCGAAGCGAUUUUAAGGAAGCCUUCGGGUGGAAUUAAGAUUGACUUAGCGGCGGACGGGUGAGUAACGCGUGGGUAACCUGCCUCAUACAGGGGGAUAACAGUUAGAAAUGACUGCUAAUACCGCAUAAGCGCACAGUGUUGCAUAGCACAGUGUGAAAAACUCCGGUGGUAGGAGAUGGACCCGCGGCGGAGUAGGUAGUUGGUGGGGUAACGGCCCACCAAGCCGACGAGCAGUAGCCGACCUGAGAGGGUGACCGGCCACAUUGGGACUGAGACACGGCCCAAACUCCUACGGGAGGCAGCAGUGGGGAAUAUUGGACAAUGGGGGAAACCCUGAUCCAGCGACGCCGCGUGACUGAAGAAGUAUUUCGGUAUGUAAAGGUCUAUCAGCAGGGAAGAAAAUGACGGUACCUGACUAAGAAGCCCCGGCUAACUACGUGCCAGCCGCCGCGGUAA
rnacentral:rRNA from 1 species